UUAAGAAUCUUGCACAAUGGGGGCAACCCUGAUGCAGCGACGCCGCGUGAAUGAUGAAGGCCUUCGGGUUGUAAAGUUCAGUAAGCAGGGAAGAAUAAGCAACGGGUAAUAUUCGUUGUGAUGACGGUACCUGCCUAAAGCCCCGGCUAACUACGUGCCAGCCGCCGCGGUAAUACGUAUGGGGCAAGCGUAGUUCGGAAUUGUUGGGAGUAAAGGGCGUCUAGGCGGGGGGUUAAGUUAGAUGUGAAAGCUAUGGGCUCAACCCAUAAACUGCAGCUAAGACUGGUUCUCUUGAGUCCGGGAGAGGAGAGCGGAAUUCCAGGUGUAGCGGUGAAAUGCGUAGAUAUCUGGAAGAACACCAGUGGCGAAGGCGGCUCUCUGGCCUAGGACUGACGCUGAAGCGCGAAAGCGUGGGGAGCGAACA
rnacentral:rRNA from 1 species